AACUUUCAACAACGGAUCUCUUGGCUCUGGCAUCGAUGAAGAACGCAGCGAAAUGCGAUACGUAAUGUGAAUUGCAGAAUUCAGCGAACCAUCGAAUCUUUGAACGCACAUUGCGCCCGCCAGUAUUCUGGCGGGCAUGCCUGUCCGAGCGUCAUUUC
rnacentral:rRNA from 1 species